AUACGGAGGGUCCGAGCGUUAUCCGGAAUCAUUGGGUUUAAAGGGUCCGUAGGCGGGAAUCUAAGUCAGUGGUGAAAUCUUGCAGCUCAACCGUAAAAUUGCCAUUGAUACUGGAUUUCUUGAAUUAGUGUGAAGUGGUUAGAAUGUGUAGUGUAGCGGUGAAAUGCAUAGAUAUUCCACAGAAUACCAAUUGCGAAGGCAGAUCACUAACACUAUAUUGACGCUCAGGGACGAAAGCGUGGGGAGCGAACAGGAUUAGAUACCCCAGUAGUCC
rnacentral:rRNA from 1 species